GGCGUCUUCGAGCCGCACGAGAUUGAGCAA
rnacentral:sRNA from 1 species